rnacentral:lncRNA from 1 species
CGUGACGUCACCACGCUGGGCCGGGCCGCAGGAGCCGCCCCUCCUCUUUUGACCCUGACGGAUAACGAAGGGUGAGCCAUACUCUUUGCGCCACCAGAUGGCGCGCCCUCCCCUAUGAACAGCGAUGAUUUCCGCAAGGAUGCUGGGGAAUUGAAGUCCCUAGUUCCCUGUGCCUUUAGCACCCACGUGGUGAGCAUUCCUCUUCUUUUCUUCUGGACUCAGAAAACGAAGGAUUGCCCUAACGCCAGGCCCACAAAUGCUCCUGUUGCUAAGGAUGGCAAGAACAGAGCCAGAUCUAAAGGAGACAGAAUCUUACUUAGCACUGUGGGCCAAGAAGGAGACCAGCAGGUCAGACUCCAUUUACCUGAAUGCUUGGCCAGAGUGGAGAUCGAUGAACUGGCCCAGCAGAGCUGAGGAUGCUCAGACUAAAGGCAAGAAGGGAGGUACCCUCUUCCCCGGUGGAGAGGCAGGAGGCCUCUGUGAUUCACUUUAGACCAGAGACGGGCAUUCCUGGAAACCAGCCACUGUAGAAGACACGGGUGGCUGCUAGCCCCCUACCGAAUGUGAACUAGAGAUCAAAGUGUUCACUCAGCCAGGGAGUGUGACAACAUAGCAUCCUGCCCAGUUCUCAGAUGGCUUCAUACGGCCCAGCUAAGGGAACUGCUCCACAUGGAAGCAUAAAAUGACUUGUCUUUAGCCACCCAACCCCCUGACAAUGCCUUUACUAGUAAGCUCACCCCUCCUGAAGAGCACAGUGCGUGUGCAAAUGAGACACUUAUUCGGGACCCAGUGUUUGAGGAGAGUACGAACCCAAGGUCAGGAAUGUCUGCUGUGUGUGACAGUGGUAUGUCUUCAAAGUGUCUGGAGACAGGAGGGGAUCCAGCUCUUGAAAGAAGUGGCCUGUAAGUAGAGAUGAGAUAUUCUCACCAGAAAUGUUGUGGACCUGAGAUUUCACCUGUGAACUUGGUGUGGUUAAUCAAAUCCCUUCUUCAUCCUCCCAAAUUUAUUCUUAUAAAGUGUAUAGUCAUGUGCCAUAUACAAUGUUUCAACCAUUAGCAGAUUGAAUAUAUGACAGCAGUCCCAUAAGAUGAUAAUGGAGGUCUGCGAUCACCCGGCGGUGUGCGCGUGAGCUCCCGGCCUGCGCGACAACAGACCCAGGAAGGACCCAAGGACCCCAGAGGGGGUUUUUCUCAGCUGCCUGCCUACCUGCCUGUCUGCGAUCACCCGGCGGCGUGCGCGUGAGCUCCCGGCCUGCGCGACAACAGACCCAGGAAGGACCCAAGG